GAAAAACAACAACGAUCUCUACACAAACAAACACAACCACUGAUCUGAGUCUCCUCCUUCUCUGAAACUUCAACGCAGAACAACCGAUCGGAGAUCGAAUCGGCGAUACAACCGGAACAGUUCUGAUGUGACAUAAGAUCGAAAACCGAUACGUAACAGCAAAUAUAAACUCCUUUUUUUUAAUAUAAAUUAAUAUAUUAAUCAAAUAUAAUUAAUUCAAAUUAUAGGUGAAGAGUUGAAGAGCUUUUUACAGAUCCAUUAAUG
rnacentral:misc_RNA from 1 species